rnacentral:rRNA from 1 species
GCUUAUGCGUUGCUGGGUAGGGGAGCGUUCUGUAAGCCUGCGAAGGUGGCCUGUGAGGGUUGCUGGAGGUAUCAGAAGUGCGAAUGCUGACAUAAGUAACGAUAAAGCGGGUGAAAAGCCCGCUCGCCGGAAGACCAAGGGUUCCUGUCCAACGUUAAUCGGGGCAGGGUGAGUCGACCCCUAAGGCGAGGCCGAAAGGCGUAGUCGAUGGGAAACGGGUUAAUAUUCCCGUACUUGGUGUUACUGCGAAGGGGGGACGGAGAAGGCUAUGUUGGCCGGGCGACGGUUGUCCCGGUUUAAGCGUGUAGGUGUGUGUUCCAGGUAAAUCCGGUUCACUUUAACACUGAGGCGUGACGACGAGGCACUACGGUGCUGAAGCAACAAAUGCCCUGCUUCCAGGAAAAGCCUCUAAGCAUCAGGUAACAUCAAAUCGUACCCCAAACCGACACAGGUGGUCAGGUAGAGAAUACCAAGGCGCUUGAGAGAACUCGGGUGAAGGAACUAGGCAAAAUGGUGCCGUAACUUCGGGAGAAGGCACGCUGACACGUAGGUGAAGUGAUUUACUCAUGGAGCUGAAGUCAGUCGAAGAUACCAGCUGGCUGCAACUGUUUAUUAAAAACACAGCACUGUGCAAACACGAAAGUGGACGUAUACGGUGUGACGCCUGCCCGGUGCCGGAAGGUUAAUUGAUGGGGUCAGCGCAAGCGAAGCUCCUGAUCGAAGCCCCGGUAAACGGCGGCCGUAACUAUAACGGUCCUAAGGUAGCGAAAUUCCUUGUCGGGUAAGUUCCGACCUGCACGAAUGGCGUAAUGAUGGCCAGGCUGUCUCCACCCGAGACUCAGUGAAAUUGAACUCGCUGUGAAGAUGCAGUGUACCCGCGGCAAGACGGAAAGACCCCGUGAACCUUUACUAUAGCUUGACACUGAACACUGGUCCUUGAUGUGUAGGAUAGGUGGGAGGCUUUGAAGUGUGGACGCCAGUCUGCAUGGAGCCAUCCUUGAAAUACCACCCUUUAAUGGCUGGUGUUCUAACGUAGACCCGUAAUCCGGGUUGCGGACAGUGUCUGGUGGGUAGUUUGACUGGGGCGGUCUCCUCCUAAAGAGUAACGGAGGAGCACGAAGGUUGGCUAAUCCUGGUCGGACAUCAGGAGGUUAGUGCAAUGGCAUAAGCCAGCUUGACUGCGAGCGUGACGGCGCGAGCAGGUGCGAAAGCAGGUCAUAGUGAUCCGGUGGUUCUGAAUGGAAGGGCCAUCGCUCAACGGAUAAAAGGUACUCCGGGGAUAACAGGCUGAUACCGCCCAAGAGUUCAUAUCGACGGCGGUGUUUGGCACCUCGAUGUCGGCUCAUCACAUCCUGGGGCUGAAGUAGGUCCCAAGGGUAUGGCUGUUCGCCAUUUAAAGUGGUACGCGAGCUGGGUUUAGAACGUCGUGAGACAGUUCGGUCCCUAUCUGCCGUGGGCGCUGGAGAACUGAGGGGGGCUGCUCCUAGUACGAGAGGACCGGAGUGGACGCAUCACUGGUGUU